rnacentral:rRNA from 1 species
CAAGUGGAGCCUUCAGUUUGCUUAGAUUCUUCGGAUGAAGAGGAUUGUGACUGAGCGGCGGAUGGGUGAGUAACGCGUGGGUAACCUGCCUCAUACAGGGGGAUAACAGUUAGAAAUGACUGCUAAUACCGCAUAAGACCACAGCACCGCAUGGUGCGGGGGUAAAAACUCCGGUGGUAUGAGAUGGACCCGCGUCUGAUUAGCUAGUUGGUAAGGUAACGGCUUACCAAGGCGACGAUCAGUAGCCGACCUGAGAGGGUGACCGGCCACAUUGGGACUGAGACACGGCCCAAACUCCUACGGGAGGCAGCAGUGGGGAAUAUUGCACAAUGGGGGAAACCCUGAUGCAGCGACGCCGCGUGAGCGAAGAAGUAUUUCGGUAUGUAAAGCUCUAUCAGCAGGGAAGAAAAUGACGGUACCUGACUAAGAAGCACCGGCUAAAUACGUGCCAGCAGCCGCGGUAAUACGUAUGGUGCAAGCGUUAUCCGGAUUUACUGGGUGUAAAGGGAGCGUAGACGGAUGGGCAAGUCUGAUGUGAAAACCCGGGGCUCAACCCCGGGACUGCAUUGGAAACUGUUCAUCUAGAGUGCUGGAGAGGUAAGUGGAAUUCCUAGUGUAGCGGUGAAAUGCGUAGAUAUUAGGAGGAACACCAGUGGCGAAGGCGGCUUACUGGACAGUAACUGACGUUGAGGCUCGAAAGCGUGGGGAGCAAACAAGAUUAGAUACCCUGGUAGUCCACGCCGUAAACGAUCACUACUAGGUGUCGGGUGGCAAAGCCAUUCGGUGCCGCAGCAAACGCAAUAAGUAGUCCACCUGGGGAGUACGUUCGCAAGAAUGAAACUCAAAGGAAUUGACGGGGACCCGCACAAGCGGUGGAGCAUGUGGUUUAAUUCGAAGCAACGCGAAGAACCUUACCUGCUCUUGACAUCCCGCUGACCGGACGAUAAUGCGUCCUUCCCUUCGGGGCAGCGGAGACAGGUGGUGCAUGGUUGUCGUCAGCUCGUGUCGUGAGAUGUUGGGUUAAGUCCCGCAACGAGCGCAACCCCUAUCUUUAGUAGCCAGCGGCCAGGCCGGGCACUCUAGAGAGACUGCCGGGGAUAACCCGGAGGAAGGUGGGGAUGACGUCAAAUCAUCAUGCCCCUUAUGAGCAGGGCUACACACGUGCUACAAUGGCGUAAACAAAGGGAAGCGAGACCGCGAGGUGGAGCAAAUCCCAAAAAUAACGUCUCAGUUCGGAUUGUAGUCUGCAACUCGACUACAUGAAGCUGGAAUCGCUAGUAAUCGCGAAUCAGAAUGUCGCGGUGAAUACGUUCCCGGGUCUUGUACACACCGCCCG